ensembl:misc_RNA Metazoa_SRP Metazoan signal recognition particle RNA
GCCGGGUGUGGUGGCUCACGCCUGUAAUCCCAGCAUUUUGGGAGGCUGAGGCAGGAGGAUCACCUGAGGUCAGGAGUUCGAGACCAGCCUGGCCAACAUGGUGAAACCCCGUCUCUA